UACGUAGGGGGCGAGCGUUGUCCGGAUUUACUGGGCGUAAAGCGCGUGUAGGCGGUUGAUCAAGUCGGGUGUGAAAUGCUGCAGCUUAACUGCGGCACUGCGCUCGAAACUGGUUGACUGGAGUUUGGCAGGGGUAACCGGAAUUCCUGGUGUAACGGUGAAAUGUGUAGAUAUCAGGAGGAACAUCUGUGGCGAAGGCGGGUUACUGGGCCAAAACUGACGCUGAGACGCGAAAGCGUGGGGAGCAAACAGG
rnacentral:rRNA from 1 species